rnacentral:lncRNA from 1 species
CCAAAUGCCCAUUUCCACUCUCUUUGCUCGCUUGGGUGAAUGUUAAUGUAACCAAAACUCCGACUAAUAUAACUAUUUUCAGGGCAUACGUAAUAGAUGACCCAAGGCAAAGGCAAUGGCUUCUUCGAAUAAGCAAGAUGGAGAUGAUGAUAGACCUGCAACCUCCGCUGCUUACCCAAUGCUUACGGAGUAUGGAUUUUGGAUUAAAGGCAUUGACCCUUACACUAGGAAAAGCACUGGCUGGUCCGCUAAAGGAACUCUUUGCUUUGGGCUCAACUCGAAAGUCGAGCUGGAGCAGGUUUGGUUUGAGCAAGUCUUUCU